rnacentral:rRNA from 1 species
GACGAACGCUGGCGGCGUGCUUAACACAUGCAAGUCGAACGGAAAGGCCCUGCUUUUGUGGGGUGCUCGAGUGGCGAACGGGUGAGUAACACGUGAGUAACCUGCCCUUGACUUUGGGAUAACUUCAGGAAACUGGGGCUAAUACCGGAUAGGAGCUCCUGCUGCAUGGUGGGGGUUGGAAAGUUUCGGCGGUUGGGGAUGGACUCGCGGCUUAUCAGCUUGUUGGUGGGGUAGUGGCUUACCAAGGCUUUGACGGGUAGCCGGCCUGAGAGGGUGACCGGCCACAUUGGGACUGCGAUACGGCGCAGUAGCCUACGGGAGGCAACAGUGGAGAAUAUGGCACAAUGGGCGGAAGCCUGAUGCGGCGACGCCGCGUGCGGAAUGACGGCCUUCGGGUUAUAAACCACUUUCGCCUGUGACGAAGCGUGAGUGACGGUAAUGGGUAAAGAAGCACCGGCUAACUACGUG